UCCCAUAUCUGGUUGAUCCUGCCAGUAUUAUAUGCUGAUGUUAAAGAUUAAGCCAUGCAUGUGUAAGUUUAAAGACCAAGUAGGAUGAAACUGCGGACGGCUCAUUAUAACAGUAAUAGUCUCUUUGGUUAGUCGGUACAAGGAUAACUAUGUGAAUGAUAUAGCUAAUACUUGAGACGAUCCGGGGAGUGUUUUCACUUCUCGGCCGCUGGCCGCGAGGUUGGCGAGAAAUGACAUUCUCUUGCGAAAAAGGAUGCCACGACAAUUGAGGAAAGCGACGCUUUUAACAAGUAACCAAUGGGAAUUUCUGAUCUAUCAAUUUGUUGGUAGUAUCGAGGACUACCAAGAUUAUAACGGAUAACGAGGAAUUGGGGUUCGACAUCGGAGAGGGAGCUUUACAGAUGGCUACCACUUCUAAGGAAGGCAGCAGGCGCGUAAAUUACCCACUUUCGACAUGAAGAGGUAGUGACGACAAAUAACUCUUGGCGCUCUUCGGGGCGACUUGAAGGAAUGAUUAAGAAGUAAAUUCUCUUAAGAAAUCAAUUGGAGGGAAAAGAUAGUAUUCACCUUGUUCAGUAACAGUACAAUUUAAUGCUUUUUCAAUUUCCUCAGCAAAUGUUGGAUA
rnacentral:rRNA from 1 species